rnacentral:rRNA from 1 species
GACGAACGCUGGCGGCGUGCUUAACAUAUGCAAGUCGAACGGAAAGGCCUGCUUUCCCUUGUGGAUUGCGGGUACUCGAGUGGCGAACGGGUGAGUAACACGUGAGUGAUCUGCCCCCAACUUGGGUAUAAGCCUGGGAAACUGGGUCUAAUUCCCGAUAGGACUGCAGGGUGGUGCCUGUGGUGGAAAACGAUUUUCUAGUGGUUGGGGAUGAGCUCGCGGCCUAUCAGCUUGUUGGUGGGGUAAUGGCCUACCAAGGCGGCGACGGGUAGCCGGCCUGAGAGGGUGGACGGCCACAUUGGGACUGAGAUACGGCCCAGACUCCUACGGGAGGCAGCAGUGGGGAAUAUUACACAAUGGGCGGAAGCCUGAUGCAGCGACGCCGCGUGGGGGAUGACGGCCUUCGGGUUGUAAACUCCUUUCGACCGCGAGGAAGCCACCUGGUUGGAAGGGUGGUGACGGUAGUGGUAGAAGAAGCACCGGCUAACUACGUG